rnacentral:rRNA from 1 species
GAUGAACGCUGGCGGCGUGCCUAAUACAUGCAAGUCGAGCGAACGGACGAGAAGCUUGCUUCUCCGAUGUUAGCGGCGGACGGGUGAGUAACACGUGGAUAACCUACCUAUAAGACUGGGAUAACUUCGGGAAACCGUAGCUAAUACCGGAUAAUAUUUUGAACCGCAUGGUUCAAAAGUGAAAGACGGUCUUGCUGUCACUUAUAGAUGGAUCCGCGCUGCGUUAGCUAGUUGGUAAGGUAACGGCUUACCAAGGCAACGAUGCAUAGCCGACCUGAGAGGGUGAUCGGCCACACUGGAACUGAGACACGGUCCAGACUCCUACGGGAGGCAGCAGUAGGGAAUCUUCCGCAAAGGGCGAAAGCCUGACGGAGCAACGCCGCGUGAGUGAUGAAGGUCUUCGGAUCGUAAAACUCUGUUAUUAGGGAAGAACAUAUGUGUAAGUAACUGUGCACAUCUUGACGGUACCUAAUCAGAAAGCCACGGCUAACUACGUG